rnacentral:rRNA from 1 species
AUCAAAAACAUGUCCUUUUGAAUGAAAAUUUAAGGUCUAAUCUGCUCAGUGAAAACUUUAAAUGGCUGCAGUAUUCUAACUGUACUAAGGUAGCAUAAUAAUUUGUUCAUUGAUUGUGAACUGGAAUGAAGGAUUGGAUGAAAUUUCAACUUUAUUAAUUCUAAAUAUUGAAUUUGAUUUUUAAGUUAAAAAGCUUAAAUGUAAAAGGGGGACGAGAAGACCCUAUAGACUUUUAUUAACUCUUAAACAAAAUAAAUAAGUUUUUUUAAAAGGGAUUAAUUUUAAUGGGGAAUUAACAAAAUAAUAUAAUUUUUGUAAUUAGAUUCAAUUAUAAUUGAUAUUCGUACGAGGGAGAGUGAUUUUAAAGAAAAAAGUACCUUAGGGAUAACAGCAUUAUAACUUUAUUAAGAUCAGAUUUUUAAAGUUGAUUGUGACCUCGAUGUUG